GAUGAAACUUCUGUGAGCAGUGAAGAUUUUGAUAUGAACGACUCCACAUGGAUGUCAGCUGACCCACACCUGGCCUCCAGCCUGAGUCCCAGCCAGGAGGAGAGGAUGCGGAGCCCGCAGAACCUCCACAGCCAAGAGGACGACGACUCCUCCUCCGAGAGCGGCAGCGGCAAUGGCUCCUCCACCCUGAACCCGUCCACCUCGAGCAGCACACAGGGAGACCCCGCCUUCCCCGAGAUGAAUGGCAACGGCACCGUGGCCCCCGUGGACUUCACCGCCACCGCCGAGGAUCAGCCCAUCAACCUGUGCGACAAGCUCCCGCAGGGCUCAGCGCUCGGCACGCCCUCCUACCCCUCCGACGCCGAUGGACUGCGGAGCCGCGUCAAGUACGGGGUGAAGACCACCCCCGAGUCCCCGCCCUACAGCUCGGGGAGCUAUGACUCCAUCAAAACCGAGGCCAGUGGCUGCCCUGAGGACCUGACGGUGGGCCGGGCCCCCACAGCGGAUGACGACGACGAUGACCACGACGACCAUGAGGACAAUGACAAGAUGAAUGACUCCGAGGGCAUGGACCCUGAGCGCCUCAAGGCCUUCAACAUGUUCGUGCGUCUCUUUGUGGACGAGAACCUGGACCGCAUGGUGCCCAUCUCCAAGCAGCCCAAGGAGAAGAUCCAGGCCAUCAUCGAGUCCUGCAGCCGGCAGUUCCCCGAGUUCCAGGAGCGGGCCCGCAAGCGCAUCCGCACGUACCUCAAGUCCUGCCGGCGCAUGAAGAAGAACGGCAUGGAGAUGACCAGACCCACACCUCCCCACCUGACCUCGGCCAUGGCAGAAAACAUCCUGGCAGCUGCCUGUGAGAGCGAGACGAGAAAAGCAGCCAAAAGGAUGCGCCUGGAGAUCUACCAGUCCUCUCAGGACGAGCCCAUAGCCCUGGACAAGCAGCACUCCCGGGACUCCGCAGCCAUCAGCCACUCCACCUACUCACUGCCAGCCUCCUCCUACUCCCAGGACCCUGUGUACGUCAACGGUGGCCUGAACUACAGUUACCGUGGUUACGGGGCCUUGGGCAGCAACCUGCAGCCCCCUGCCUCCCUCCAAACAGGAAAUCACAGUAAUGGGCCCACGGACCUCAGCAUGAAAGGCGGGGCCUCCACCACCUCCACCACGCCCACGCCCACGCCCUCCAGCAACAGCACCAGCCGGACCAUGCCCACUGCCCAGCUCAGCCCCACCGAGAUCAGUGCCGUGCGGCAGCUCAUCGCCGGCUACCGGGAGUCCGCCGCCUUCCUGCUGCGCUCAGCAGAUGAACUGGAAAACCUCAUUUUACAGCAGAACUGACCCAGCAGCACGUGGAGUGCACUACCCUAGGGAAGGAGGCUCUCCCAGCCCCGGACCGGCUUCCCGCCUCACCAGUUGGUACCUUUUGUUAUUUGAAAGAGGCGGAUGCAGAAGAGCUGCUUCUAGCCACACUCCAAGCGCCUGAGACUCUGGGCACAAGGACACUUUGUUUUGGAACCUCACCACACGGGUGCUCCGACCUGCUUGGAAGAGGCCAGCGGGGCAGCUUUGCAAGGGCUGGGGCUCCCCCUGACAAGGCGCUGGGGCCGCAGCUCUAUUUAGAAUCAUCUUCGUGGACCCUGAUGUUAGAAUCCCACCCCCAGAUAAUUACCUUUCAAGUCUUAGAUUGCCAGUCUGUGUCUGUCUGAUCAGAAGGAUGUAUCCCUGUGACCUAACAUUCCAUAUCACUACACUGGCACGGGCUGGGGGCCGGCAGGGCUGGGGGCAGCGGGGGCGCCGGGCUGGCUGUCCCUCUGAGCCCCCAGCCCCGCCAAGCAGGAGGACCUCACCCACACCCACUGCAGAGCAAAGACAAACAAAAGCGGCUCCCCCUCCCCCAUCCCACAGGCGCCCCAGUCACACGGUCACCCGGUCACCCGUAUUCUACCUCACACUCCAGCGUGGGCUUUUCCAGGAUGUGCCCUGAGCCUGUUCUGAAUGGCUGUCUCCCACCUCCCCCACCCAGUGUGUCUGCCUGGGAGGUAAGUCCAGAGGGGAGGCCAGGAGCUGGAGCCCAGGGAGGAGCCCCUGGCCCCGGCGCUUGACAGGACAGAGUGCUGGGGCACGGACAGCCGGUCAGCUGGGCCCUUGCGCUCACCCUGCCCCCAGGGAGCCAGGUCUGAACACUUCUCCGCACAGGCCCUGGCCCCUCGGACACCGGCCGGGAAGGGCCCCCCGACCCCACCCGCCCCUCGUUGCUGCAGGGUGCGCCCCUGGCUGUCAGGAAAGGCAGCUUCGAGCUCCCGGGUGGACCGCAGCUCCUGUCCCCUGCCCCCGUGGCUGGAGUAAAGGGACCAUCAGCAGAAGUGGAGAAGCCACCUGGGUUCUCCUAGGACCAGCCCUUCUGCAGGGGCCAGUCCUGGAAGAAACCCAUAAUCCCUGGAGUGUGAAAAAGGGCAAAAAGAAAAGGCUGGCCUGGUUUCCUUCCUCCCCGAUAGGCACUUCCUCUUGCUCAGUGCAAUACCUACCAGUGCUGCUAAAACCAGGGAUUUGCCCAGACCUCACAAGGCCCACAGGGCCUCUCCAUGCAACACUCCGUAGCCAUGACAGCAGCCCUCUGCUGCCCGGAGCUGGCAGAAGCCCUCUGUUGCCUUUCCGCCCUCAGAGCAAAGAGGUCCCAGGGGAGCCGGGGCCGAGGGGACCCUAGGGUCGAGGGCCACUCGACCCCAAAGCAGGCACCCCCUUCCCAAACCAGCUUUUCUGCAGCCAACUGCCUCCCGGCACUGUGGCAGACCACCCUCAAGAGGGGUGGUGAGGGGGCUCCAGUGUGGAUGCCUCCUCCUCCUCGGAUCCGCGACUGAGCUACGGGCCCCGGAUCCAGAAAGUCGGAAGGGCAGGGGGGUCCUGCCCCCUGCUUGCUUCCAGCCCCGAGAGGUUGAGGGUGGCCUUUGCUGUCCCAAGUGGCCUCCAGCACCGCACGCAGCCACACCACCUCUGCCUUCCAUCUGACCAGUCCCCAGGCUCCAGCCAGGGCCGGGACGCUGAGACCCGCCGUCAGCACAGCACAAGCUCCAGUGCCCGAGGCCGCUCCCACCCCCCCCACAGCGUCCACACGUCCCGCCCCCAUCUGCUCAGUACUACUCACGGACAUUUGAAUUUGUGUAAAUAUUUAUUUUUGUGUGUGAACAAUACUACAAAAAGUAAUCAGUAGAUCUUUUGCAAAAUGUUACCCCAGGCAAUUUGUGAAAAUCUAAUGUUGAAAACUGGCACAGACAAUCGCCGCCUUAGAAUUCUUGACAUCAACUGCUUCACAUGUCAUUUCUCCUCCCGGAGGCAGUACCCAAGCCAGGCACAAACGGUUAGCUUUUCUGAACACACAGGAGUGAGAAAGACUGGGGAAGGGGCUUCCGCCACUACCCGCACAAGGGAUUAGAUCUGAAGCUCAGUAUAAGCUACAGUGUGAAGUCGUGUUUUUCUGAGUCAAGCUUGUCCUAACUGACCACCUUCAGCGGCCUUAGUACCGCGAUAAGAGUGUAGGUUCAGUGUGCUUCAAAGAGAAAGGAAGCAAAUGAUGAUAGUGGUCAAGGUCCACUGGGGCUCCCAGAGCCCCUCCAGGACAGUGGAUCCCGUCACGUUGACCCCACCUCUUGGGUGGGCUCCUUCCUAGUGAAGCUGCACGUGAAGCCCUCGUGACGGCAGAAUCAGGAGCAAGUUACUGUGUGGAAACAGGAUUCCAUUAGCUAGUCCAGUCAGGGAACUUGUUCAGUUUUGCUUUUGUUUUAAAAGAUGCAGCGUCAACCCCAUCCCUCUCCUCCUCACUUGGAGAAGCACCAAAGAGCUGGUGGCUCUGCUGAACCCAGCUCGCUGCUGUCCCCCCUCACCCCAGGGACUGCCUUCUCCUAAAGGGAGCGUCUAAAGCCCUGCCCCACAGCCAGUUCUUACGGAGGGCCUCAGGGCACAAAUUGAUCAUUUGGGAUCCUACGUUUAAGAGGUAAUGCAAGAAUAGAAUAUACCAGUUCCAGAGUCUUUGCAGGGGGCUAAAUCCCACAAGGUUGGAAUCAGAGGAGAAAUGGGAAUUUGGUCUUAGUGGUGGGUCAUCUGGUAGACCAGUGAGAGUACAACCCAUCUAAAACUCAUUUUACCGUCACCACUCAGUUUAUACCCAAGGACAGUGUUGAGGGGGAGGGGGACCGGCAGGGGGUUGGAAGGUUUUAGAAGAUUUCAAACAAACAGGUGGAACCCAGCCAUCCCUAUUCCCAAGGGCCACUUAUGACUCCAGGGGUGGUUACAGGAUUAAUUACCAGUUCAUUUUCAAAAUGCUGCUUUGAACUCAGAGGGUUGAUACUUUUAAUUUGUAAUUUUUUGUAAAACUUUUUACAAGAUAGUAAAGUAUUUCACCAGAAUACCAGUUUCAAUCCGUCCAUGGUCUGAUUUUUAUAUAAUUUAGUGGUGCUUUAGAAACUUUGUUUUUGUUGUUUAUGAGCUAAACAGCUCAGUCCUUUUUCGCCUGUAUCUACCUAAGACCAAUGUGAACCUUUGUAUUUUUGCUCCUAAUUUUGGACUCAGUGAAAGUGUACUGUUUACAUGUACAGAUGCCCCGGUCCCUGUGUGUCCUGCAAGACUCGCUCCUGAGGAGGAAGGUGCACCUCAAAGCUCAUCUGCUUAGCAAAGCCACAAAACAAAAACCUCUCACUUUUUACCUAUGUUUCCACCUAAAAACAAAAACAAAAAACCUACACCACACAGAACUCAGAUUUGCUGAAAAAUACUUUUCUAAGCUCAGAAAAAUCUCCAUGCGGCAGAUGGCCCAUAUGCCUCUGUCAUAUGGUCCAUUUAGGAGCAGGGCUCAGAAGGGAGACUUCCUACCGGCUGCAGGUGGGACACUGCGUGGACUCAUGAAAAGUGAAAGUAGGACUUGGCUGCAGCGCCCAGAGCCGGGGGUGGAUAUAGCUCUUCUCCUGACAGCCUGGGAAUGGGAAGGUCACGUUGACUCAUGGGAGCUUCAGGGUCAAGCCACCCAAGAUUUAGGAACAACCCGAGAGCGAGAGGUUUCCAAUACCCUGGCAUAAUUUAGAUGCGCUGGGGAAGAGCGCAAGUUCCCUACCUGACAUGAGUUUUGAGACUUUCCAAUGCAGAUGGUAUAAGCAUUUCUUCAGGGUCCCCUGGAGGCAGCUCAUUCAUGAGGCAUCACCUCUGGGGAGGGGCAGGGGGCUCCAGACAGUAAGCAUAUGGCACUUAAGACAAACAGCAGAUGGCACCAACUUUUAAAGAUGACUCUUUAUUACUUAAUCAAUGGCUUCACCUCUAAAUUAUAUUUUUACAGAUAUGCACCUAUGCAACUUAACGUGGCUCUUCUAAGCAGGUGAGGACUUCCUCCUUAAUGCUCUAUAAAAAUUAUUUGUGUUCUAUAUAGUGAGUUUUUCCAGUAAAUGUGGCUUAAUAUUUUAAUUCUUAGAAUGUGUCUUCUCUAUGUGAUGCAACUAAAUUCUGUUUUGUUUGUGGAAUGACUAGCACAGGCCAACUCCCUCUCCCCUCACUUAACAAAAGACCAAUGAGCUGUUAAUCGAGCUGUUAUCUCCAUGGUAUUACUUGCUAAAUGCACUGAUUUCAUAAGUAUGUGGAAUCC